GAGGGGUGCUAGCGUUAUUCGGAAUCAUUGGGCGUAAAGGGUGUGUAGACGGCGCAUUAAGUCAACUGUUAAAUUCUCCGGCCUAACUGGAGGUCAGCGGUAGAAACUGGUGUGCUAGAGGGUGAGAGAGAGAAGUGGAAUUCUCGGAGUAGCGGUAAAAUGCGUAGAUCUCGAGAGGAACACCGAUGGCGAAGGCAGCUUCUUGGCUCAUUCCUGACGUUGAGACACGAAAGCGUGGGGGGAGCAAACAGGAUUAGAUACCCUGGUAGUCCACACUGUAAACCGAUGAUCACUAGACGUCAGCUCUGUUUUGCAGGGUUGGUGUCGUAGCUAACGCGUUAAGUGAUCCGCCUGGGGACUACGAUCGCAAGAUUAA
rnacentral:rRNA from 1 species